UACGGAGGGAGCUAGCGUUGUUCGGAAUUACUGGGCGUAAAGCGCGCGUAGGCGGCUUUGUAAGUUAGAGGUGAAAGCCCGGGGCUCAACCCCGGAAUUGCCUUUAAGACUGCAUCGCUUGAAUCCAGGAGAGGUGAGUGGAAUUCCGAGUGUAGAGGUGAAAUUCGUAGAUAUUCGGAAGAACACCAGUGGCGAAGGCGGCUCACUGGACUGGUAUUGACGCUGAGGUGCGAAAGCGUGGGGAGCAAACAGG
rnacentral:rRNA from 1 species